rnacentral:rRNA from 1 species
CGUGUAGGCGGCCAGGUAGGUCCGUUGUGAAAACUCGAGGCUCAACCUCGAGACGUCGAUGGAAACCAUCUGGCUAGAGUCCGGAAGAGGAGAGUGGAAUUCCUGGUGUAGCGGUGAAAUGCGCAGAUAUCAGGAAGAACGCCCGUGGCGAAGGCGGCUCUCUGGGACGGUACUGACGCUGAGACGCGAAAGCGUGGGGAGCGAACA